rnacentral:rRNA from 1 species
AUGGAAAAGGCAGCUCAGGUGGCCUUACAAUGCAUCUGUGCAAACUAUAAUAUUUCUAUCAAAGUCCAUAAUUACUACUCCUAUGCCCUUGAAGUCACAAAGGAAAGGUUGUUUACAGCAAGAGAGAAGGCUCAAACAAAGCAAUGGUGGUUCAACAUGGCCUGCCAGCAAGUAACUGCACAGCAAAACGAAACUACAAUACAAACAGUGAUUCUGGCAAAGAUAUGCAACAGCUUCUUCGAUAUAUUACCACUUCACAUAUAUCCCCAGUGCCCAGACAGCGAUGAUCCCAUUAUCACAUACAUAGGCGCGCACCCUCCCGUCGGACGUGUGCAGGAAUUUGCAAAAUCAAUUUAUCACUUUAUCACAGGCACCAAUCCUGCAGGAGGGUAUACUAGGAUGGUCUAA